rnacentral:rRNA from 1 species
UACGUAGGCAGCGAGCGUUGUUCGGAGUUACUGGGCGUAAAGGGCGCGUAGGCGGCUCAUGAAGGCUGUGGUGAAAGUCCGGGGCUCAACCUCGGAUCGGCCGUGGCGACUCGUGGGCUGGAGCACUGUAGAGGCGGGUGGAAUUCCGGGUGUAGCGGUGGAAUGCGUAGAGAUCCGGAAGAACACCAGUGGCGAAGGCGGCCCGCUGGGCAGUGGCUGACGCUGAAGCGCGACAGCGUGGGGAGCAAACAGG